rnacentral:rRNA from 1 species
GACGAACGCUGGCGGCGUGCUUAACACAUGCAAGUCGAACGGAAAGGCCCUGCUUUUGUGGGGUUCUCGAGUGGCGAACGGGUGAGUAACACGUGAGUAACCUGCCCUUGACUUUGGGAUAACUUCAGGAAACUGGGGCUAAUACCCGAUAGGAUCUUCUGCUGCAUGGUGGGGGUUGGAAAGUUUCGGCGGUUGGGGCUGUACUCGCGGCGUAUCAGCUUGUUGGUGGGGUUGUGGCUUACCAAGGCUUUGACGGGUAGCCCGCCUGAGCGGGUGACCGGCCACACUGGAACUGAGACACGGUCCAGAGUGCGAGGGGAGGCAGCCGGAGGGAAUCGUGAGCAAGGGGCGGGAGACUGAGGGAGCAGGGCCGAGUGAGUGAGGAGGGUCGCCGGAUCGGAAAACUCGGUGAUUAGGGAAGAAAAUAUGUGGAAGUAACUGUGAACAUCGGGACGGUAACUGAGCAGAAAGCCACGGAUAACUACGGG